rnacentral:sRNA from 1 species
GUUUUGCAUGAGGGAUUGAAGUGGAAAUCCUUUUGUGUAAUGAAAUGAAACAAAAGAUUGAAGCGGAAAGCCCGACCCGCU